rnacentral:rRNA from 4 species
GGGCCGCACGCGCGCUACACUGACGGAGCCAGCGAGUCUAACCUUGGCCGAGAGGUCAUGGGUAAUCUUGUGAAACUCCGUCGUGCUGGGGAUAGAGCAUUGCAAUUAUUGCUCUUCAACGAGGAAUUCCUAGUAAGCGCAAGUCAUCAGCUUGCGUUGAUUACGUCCC